AGUGAACGCUGGCGGUAGGCCUAACACAUGCAAGUCGAACGGCAGCACAGUAAGAGCUUGCUCUUACGGGUGGCGAGUGGCGGACGGGUGAGGAAUACAUCGGAAUCUACUUUUUCGUGGGGGAUAACGUAGGGAAACUUACGCUAAUACCGCAUACGACCUACGGGUGAAAGCAGGGGAUCUUCGGACCUUGCGCGAUUGAAUGAGCCGAUGUCGGAUUAGCUAGUUGGCGGGGUAAAGGCCCACCAAGGCGACGAUCCGUAGCUGGUCUGAGAGGAUGAUCAGCCACACUGGAACUGAGACACGGUCCAGACUCCGACGGGAGGCAGCAGUGGGGAAUAUUGGACAAUGGGCGCAAGCCUGAUCCAGCCAUACCGCGUGAGUGAAGAAGGCCUUCGGGUUGUAAAACCCUUUUGUUGGGAAAGAAAAGCAGCAGGUUAAUACCCCGCUGUUCUGACGGUACCCAAAGAAUAAGCACCGGCUAACUUCGUG
rnacentral:rRNA from 1 species